CUACGGGACGCACCAGGCGCGAAACCUUUACAAUGUACGGAAGUGCGAUAAGGGGACUCCUGGUGCUUAUGCAUAGCAUAGGCUUUUGCUAAGUGUAAAUAACUUAGCGAAUAAGUGGUGGGUAAGACGGGUGCCAGCCGCUGCGGUAACACCUGCGCCACGAGUGGCAAUCAUAUUUAUUGGGCCUAAAGCGUUCGUAGCCGGAUAAGCAAGUCUUGGGUGAAAUCGUUGCGCUUAACAAAACGACGUGCUUGAGAUACUACUUACCUAGGGACUGGGAGGCGUUAGGGGUAUUCUUAAGGGAGCGGUAAAAUGCUAUAAUCUUAAGGGGACCACCUGUGGCGAAGGCGCCUAACGAGAACGGAUCCGACGGUGAGGGACGAAAGCUAGGGGAGCAAACCGGAUUAGAUACCCCUGUAGUC
rnacentral:rRNA from 1 species